ensembl:snRNA LOC120093974 U1 spliceosomal RNA
ACACUAACCUGGCGGAGGAGUUGCUCUAAUCAUGAAGAUGGUUUUCCCAGGAAGAGCCUCAUCCUCUCCAUUCCAGAUGUGCUGGCACCAGCAAUUUCCCCAAAUGUGGGAAACUAAACUGCGUAAUUCACGGUAGCAGAGGACUGCAUCACAGUCUCCUUUG